rnacentral:rRNA from 1 species
CCUACGGGAGGCAGCAGUGGGGAAUAUUGGACAAUGGGGGGAACCCUGAUCCAGCCAUGCCGCGUGUGUGAAGAAGGCCCUCGGGUUGUAAAGCACUUUCAGUGAGGAAGAACGCCUGGUGGUUAAUACCCAUCAGGAAAGACAUCACUCACAGAAGAGGCACCGGCUAACUCCGUGCCAGCAGCCGCGGUAAUACGGAGGGUGCGAGCGUUAAUCGGAAUUACUGGGCGUAAAGCGCGCGUAGGUGGCUUGAUAAGCCGGUUGUGAAAGCCCCGGGCUCAACCUGGGAACGGCAUCCGGAACUGUCAAGCUAGAGUGCAGGAGAGGAAGGUAGAAUUCCCGGUGUAGCGGUGAAAUGCGUAGAGAUCGGGAGGAAUACCAGUGGCGAAGGCGGCCUUCUGGACUGACACUGACACUGAGGUGCGAAAGCGUGGGUAGCAAACAGGAUUAGAUACCCUGGUAGUC